rnacentral:ncRNA from 1 species
GUAUAGAGGUGCGGUGUUUAUAAGUAAUCACUUUUUUAUGUACGGCAAUGCAGAAUUUGAUGAAAGGAAACGCCGCCGAAAAAGAUAUUUUUUGCCGAAAAUAUUUUUUGGGACGGUACAGAAUAUGUGCCGUACUGUCACCAAAGGUGGAGUGCUAUCG